UGGUGGAGUGAUUUGUCUGGUUGAUUCCGUUAACGAACGAGACCUCGACCUGCUAAAUAGUCCGGCAAAUCUUCGGAUUUGUAAACUGCGUGACUUCUUAGAGGGACUGUCGCAUUGUAGGCGAAGGAAGUUCGAGGCGAUAACA
rnacentral:rRNA from 1 species